GUUCGCCAGCACAGAAUCCAGGUGAAGACAAGAGCUUUGUUUUCGCAGGAGGAUGGGGUGCCUCUGUGGCUUCAGGACAACUUUCAGCCUCACGACCCCGAGGAAAAAGCUUCCGGUCCAGGGUCAGCUGAGGCUUAUCCCAGACAUUUUUCUAAAUAGAGGAGAACACUGUUUCUCUGAAUGAGGGGCCAACCCCUGGACCGUGUCCACGAGGCGCUCCCUCCCAGCACACCUGCGAAGCCUCCCCAACGGAGACUGCCCCGUGGGCUGGCCUUUCCAGAAGGAGUCCUCCCUCCACGGCCCCACCUCCUCACCCAUUCAGCACUCUGGCUCUCCUUCCAUCUCCAACAUGGCGACUCUGAAGUGGGACUCGAGCGUGGAGUGUUUCCUUGUUUGACCAAGCUAGACCAAGACAGCGUCGUGCUCCUUUCCCCAUCUUGGGAGUGUACUCUUCCUCAGGGGUGCAAAGGUUUGACCUUUCCAGCCAUCGUGAGUCUCCACGCAGGCACAGUAUUUCUCCUUCUCCAAAGAAGAAUUCGAAUGGCUCACCUCCUGCCCUAGAAACAGAGCCAGUGUUUCCGGAACUGUAUAGUGACGAUUUGUGGACAAAAACAACUCUAAGUUUUGGGGUAUGUGUUUUUACAUCCAAAGAAAAAUGUUGCUAAAAGGCUUUGGAAAUACUUGGUAUUUUUCUUCAAGUCCCUUUCAGUAGACUGAGUUAUGAAUACUUGUAAAGCACAUGGAGGUCUGUCAGUACAGGACAUGAAUGGUA